rnacentral:lncRNA from 13 species
AGGAUUGACAGAUAUGUAAUAGCUGCUAUCUACCAUGUUAGACAUAGUCUAAGUGCUGCCCAGAUUGUCUAGUUCCUUUCUCACAGCUAUCUUAUUUUCCUCUAAAUCGGAUGCUGUUAUUACCCCAUUCAACACAUGGCAAAACGGACAUUUAGAGAGGUGAGCUAACUUGCCCAACUACAUACACCCAGCUAGUAACAAAUGUGGGCCGGGUACAGUGGCUCACGCCUAUAAUCCCAGCACCUUGGGAGGCUGAGGCAGGCGGACCGUCUGGGGUCAGAAGUUUGAGACUAGCCUGACCAACGUAGCAAAACCCCAUUUCUACUAAAAAUACAAAAAUUAGCCGAGCGUGGUGGCAGGUGCCUGUAAUUCCAGCUACUCACCCAGCUGAGGCAGGAGAAUCACUUGAACCUGGGAGACAGAGGCUGCAGUGAGCCAAGAUAAUGCCACUGCACUGCAGGCUGGGCAACAGAGUGAGACUCUGUCUCAAAAAGAGAAAAAUAAAAGACAAGUAUGUGUGCAGCUGGGUAUGAACCCUGGAAGUCUGCGUCAGGUCUGCCCUGAUAUCAGUAUAUUCCUAUCAUGAAACCAUAUUCAUUACAUUUGUAGCAGAGUAUGUGAUGCACAAUGCUUGAUAAGUCAAUGUCUAUUAAUUUAUCUUUUUCAUAACUUUAUCAUAUUCCUCAGAAUUCAACCUGGACGCCUCCCAAAUGCUGUGGUCUGCUCCGUGCUGCUCUGCUGGGCCAUCACCCUGUGAGUUCUGACGGGCGAGGUCUUCUCUCAGGAGUGGACCUGGUGAGCACACCUGUGAAUCUGGAAAGGACUAAAGAGCUGCAUGGCUGGGUAUUAACCUAGCUGCUGGCUACUGUUCUUAAACUCCAUCAACUUGAUCACAGGCCAAACUACAAUACAAAAAA